rnacentral:lncRNA from 1 species
AACGGCGGUCCUUACAAACAAACCGCCGUUUAAAUUGUAAAAUCAACGUCGGUAUGAUCGACGUAUAUUACAGAAAUCCACGUCGGUAAAUUAAUAAAAACGACGUGUUAAAUAAUAUACCAUGACGCGAGUUAUUACUUAUGUACUUUAAUUUUUGAGUUUACUACGACGGUACCUACAAACUACUGUCGUAUUUAUUUACCACGUCCGAAGUUAAAUGUACCGUCGUAUUUUGUAAUUUAUACGUCGUAGUUAUAUGUAACCGCCAUAUUAUUUUUUUGAAAUGGUUUUAUAUGUAAGCAACUUUUCGUCUACUUGACUUACACAUUUGUUGUUUUUAUAUUCUUAUUUUAUUUAAAUCUGUCAUCCAAAAAAGAAACUUUACAUAUUGCAGAAUAUUAAUUUCCUUCGUUUUAAAUUUCCUCCGGAAAAAAAACUCUAUUUAUAACGCACUGUAAUUGAAAAAUAAACUGAAAGGUCACGGGAAAAAAAAUUCUAUUCAUAAUUUAAAAAUUAAAAUCCACGUCGGUUAUAUUAAACCUAACGACGUUAAAUGAAAUGAUUCCACGUCGAAUGAAAAAUAUUGCGUCGUUUUAGUUAAAAACGACGUAGUUAAAUGUAACCGCCGUAUUAUUUUUUUGAAAUGGUUUUAUAUGUAAGCAACUUUUCGACUUACACAUGCACUGUUUCCAAACCCGAUUAAAAAUUUCAAUCUCCCAGAGAAACCUUUUCGUCUUUUUUCCUUGUCAGAGCAUUGUCAGAGUUUUUCAUCGUCUUCCUCUCGUCUUCUUCGUCGUCUCUGAACUUAAACAUCGAUCAUCUUCCUCUUGCUUUCAUUGCACGCAAAAGGUAAGCUUUCAUUUUCACUAUUUUGGUUACUGUUUUGCAUGCUCAUACGUUUUUUGUUUGAAAAAUCUUUUUACCUUUUUUCUGGCCAAAAUCAUUUUACUUCUUUCCAAGUUUGAUAAAAUAUACAGACAAAGAGAGAAAGUUUCCAACUUUGAAGACAACUACAUCAACUAAAUAAGACGACGGUAGACCACGACGGUUCGUCAGUUGUUCUAGCGUCGUCUGAAAAUUGACAAAGUUGUUUUUAAAAUAAUAGUCUUUUUUUAUAUGCUUGUUUAAUUGCAGGUUUGAUUUCGCUGAACAAUGGUUUUUGUUUUUCCCUUAUUUGAUAAAAUAUAAAGAAAAAGAAACUAGGGUUGGUAUCUAAUAUAGACGAUAAAAUAUAAAUAAUAGUUUACCACGACGGUGUAUUACUAUUGACGUCGUGUGAACAUAUAUACCACGACGUUAUAUAAAUAAUGGUUUUAAACAUUUAUUACGUCUGAGAUUAUUUCAUUGCGUCGUCUAAAAUCAUAUCAUACGUCGUAUUUUUUUAAUACCGUCGUUUGUGUUCUUAAUGUUUUCCUGAAAUAUUUUCACUUGCAGUUUUGUCUGUUAAAAUGGUUUCUCAACAACAAACUAAGGAUUCUGGCUCCAAGAAGCUUGGAAUGGUAGCUCCUCAAGAUAAGUCUUCGAAGGAGAUGAAGUCUUCGAAGAAGAUGAAGUUUGCUUCAUCAUCUGCUGAGACAGAACAAACCAGCCAGACAACAAUCUCAGAUGAUUCAAAGACUGGUCGAGGUAUGAGCACAAUGCCUCGUGUUGUGAAGAGAAAGCUUCAGAAACUGAGGCCAAUUGUUGAGUACAAUAAAAGGGGGAAAGGUGUUGGCCAAGCACAUAUUGAGAUGCAGUCGUAUAUUGGUGUGUUGGCACGCUCCAGGAUCCCACUUGUGGACAAGAAAUGGUCCCAAAUCCCCAAGGAUAUAAAGGAGCAGAUUUGGGAAGCAGUUGACAUGGCUUUUGUCGUAGGCCAAGGGGGCAAGACCUCUGUUUUAGCUUCUGCUUCCAAGAAAUGGAAGGAUUUCAAGUCUACACUAACGAGGCAUUAUAUCCUUCCAUACACCAAUGACAGGGAGAAAUUAAGCCAACCCCCUGAAACAUAUAAAUUCAUAGAGAAAGCACAAUGGGAUGCCUUUGUAGCUUCAAGGCUAUCCAAAGAUUUUGAGUCUGUGCAUUCUCAACAUGCACAGAUUAGGGAGAAACUCGAGUACAAUCAUCGAUUGUCUCGAAAAGGAUAUGCUGGAUUGGAGGAUCAAUUGGAGGAAACCAUGCCUGGGGUAGAAAUUGAUCGAUCUACCUUAUGGAAGAGAGCUAGACAGGACAAACAUGGUAACAUCCCUGAUCCAAAGGUGGCAGAGAAAGCAAAAUUAAUUGUAAGCCUACUAUCACUCUGUUUUAAAUUUUUAUUAAACUGUGAAUUAUUCUUAUUACGUCGUAUGUUAUAUUUUUCGUCGUGUGAAUGAUAUUACCACGUCGAAAAGUUUUUAAAAACGUCGUUAAAGGUCUAAAUAGGAAUCACUACUAUGUUUUCUGUAAUUACAGCAUAAGACGUCGGUGGUUCAUUUUCGCGUCGUGUGAAUGAUAUUACCACGUCGAAAAUUUUUUAAAAACGUCGUUAACGGUCUAAAUAGGAAUCACUACUCUGUUAUCUUUAAUUAUAGCAUAAGACGUCGGUUGUUUAUUCAUUUCGUCGUUUUAAAUAAAUAACCACGUCGGUAUAACUACCGUCGUGAUAAGUUAUAAUAACGUCGGUUUAUACGUUAUUGCGUCGUGUGAAAUUAUAUAAUACGUCGUUUGUACAUAAAUAACCGUCGUGUGUUUUUUUGUUUAUCUUUUUUUAGGAUGAAUUGCAGAAACAAGUCUCGGAAGGCAAAGUCAGAGUAGAUGGCAGCAAUGAUGUGCUGACCAUGGCUUUGGGCCCCGAGCAUCCAGGCAGACUGAGGGGAGUUGGUGCUGGUGUUUCCCCAAGGCAAUAUUUCAAUUUGCCCAAACCACAGAGGGUGAGCUUUGACGACCGUUUGAAGGACAGUUUAAGAGUUCUCCUUCAAGAAGAGACUAAAAAGAUGGAGGCUAAGGCAAGGGAAGAGGCCUUAAGGAUGGAGGCUAGGACAAAACAAUUGGUAGAGGCUGAGAGGGAGCAUUUCCUGAGUCAGCUUUCCCAAUUAAUUCCCAAUUUUGAUCCAAGCAUGCUUAAACCAAGAAUUAGCCAAAGCCCCAAAAAUCCAAUGUCUGACAAAGCUAGCUGCUCUGGAGGUGAUGUGAGAUCCCUACAUUUGGAGGAUGAUACUGCCAAAAUGGGGAAACAUCAGCCAGAUGAAGAGAAGGAAGAAGAAAAAAGAGAUGAAGAGAAGGAAGAAGAAAAGGAGAAAGAAGAUGAAGAAAAGCAUGACGACAAGGUAUGUUCACAUAACUUUGCCUUUUUUAUUUGUUUUUCAAAAUUUCAGACGUCGAUAUUUUUAUUUAAUCCGUCGUUUGUUUAAAACUUAGACGGCGGAAUUUUUUUAAGACGUAAUAAAAUAUUUAAACGACGGUUUUUGCACCGUCGUUUAAAUGGUUUCAGACGACGCUUUAUUCAUAAAACCGUCGUCUUUAUUGAAUUACCACGACAGUUUUUUCACCGUCGUUUAAAUACUUUUAAGACGACGUUUUAUUACUUAAACCGUCGUCUUUAUUGAAUUACCACGUCAUUUUUUUUAUUUCUUUAAACAGGUUAUUGAAGUUGGUGCUUAUUCAAAAAUGGAGGCGCCAUCUUCUUUAAAAACCCUUUGUCGUUUUGUGGAAACGACACUCCUGCCUGAGGAUAAGACACUCCAAUUUACAAUUGAUAAGGAGGUGUUUGGUGGUGAGCGCGAUACCUUCCUCCUGCCUGAAGAUAUUACACAAUUUGCAGGCAUGGAAGAAAUUGGAGCUACUGUAUUGGCUGUAUAUAUGAGGUUUGUACUUCUAAAAUAAUACCUCGUUGGUUUAUAUAUUGCGUCGUCUUAACUAACUAACCACGUCGUCUUAACUAACUACCGUCGUGAUAAAUAUAUUAUAACGUCCUCAUCUAUUUCAGUACGUCGUGUGAAAUAUUAUAAUACGUCGUUUUUUUAUACAUAACCGUCGUGUUUGUUUGUGCUGACUUGUUUAUAUUAUUUUAUGUAUUUAGGUACUUACACGAUGUUUUGAAACAAGCCAAUAUGUGCAGCAUGGUUGGCUUUAUUGACCCUGCUACAGUUAGUGCCAACUCUGGCACAAUAACUGAAAGAUCACGACUGGUAGCAGCUCGACUUCAGAAGACAGACGGUGAACAGCUUUUCAUGAUGCCUUACAAUCCAGGGUUAGUCUCCUUAGGAUUUUGUUUUUAUGAUUUUCAAUAAAUGACAGCUUAUAAACUAACCACGUCGGUGUUUUAUUUUAUUUAGUCGUUUGAAACUACUAACCACGUCGGUAUUUAUUUGUCGUCGUGAUAAAUAUAUAAUGUUGUCGUUAUCUACUUUAUUUCGUCGUGUGAAAUACUAUAAUACGUCGUUUUUGUAAAUAACCGUCGUUUUUAUAUUAAUUUUGUGCAGCCGUCAUUGGAUCCUGCUGAUUGUAAGAGCAAAGAAGGAGACCGUCUAUUUUCUGGAUCCUCUGCCAGGUCAUCGUGUGGUCGACGAAGAGGCGAAAAACAUCGUGAACAGUGCUUUAAAAAUAUAUAAUACCCACAUAGGCCGAGCAGGACGUAAAAAUGUAAUUUGAAAAACUCUCUCAGGCACACCAAAGCAACCCAGCAAUGUCGAAUGCGGGUAUUAUGUGAUGCGCUUCAUGAGGGACAUCAUCAUGGAUCCUUCCUUGGGGUUUGAGAAUAAGGUAAGAAGAAAUUACCUUCAUACAUUUCACGUCGUUUUUUGUAUUAUCAACGACGGUCAUGUAAAAUUAACGUCGUUGAAUGGAUAUACUACGUCGGUUAUGAAAAAUAUCGUCGUCUGUGAUUGAAUUUCUUUUUAUUUAUAAACCCUAAUAGUCAUUGUUUAUGCAGUAUGCCAAGGGAAACCAGGAAGCUUCAUACCCCCAAGAAGCCAUUGAUGAAGUCCGGAAUGAAUGGGCAGAGUUUGUUUUCCAAAUUAUUAAACAGGGCAAUUAUUGAACACUUGAUAUUUAUGUAUAAUGUACCAAUUUUCUCUAUAAUAUGUAAUGUAAAAAUUUGUUGAGGUUUUCUUAAAUUAAAAAAAAAACAAACAUACAAAUUGCUUAACCGACGUGUAAUACUUUUCCAACGACCUAAUAAAGUCACAAACCGUCGUAUUUUGUUGUUUCGUGUUUUAAACAAUUACGACGUAAAAAAAUAGUUAGACGACGUUCUUUGAACAAUUGAGUCGUUAAUGGUUUACAAUAUCUUCAAUUUCUUAAGGGUUCAGGGUAUAAUCGACGACGUUUAUGUAACGACUGCGGUUAAGUCGUAAAAUAUAUAUUUUACGUCGUAUAGUUAAAUAGCCGCCAUGGUUUUUCAUUUUAACGACGUCAUUUUAACGACUUAGUAGUCUAUUACAAUUUACAACGUCUACAAUUUAUUAACACCGACGUGGUUUGUUGUUGUGGUAAGAAUAUUUUAUUAUUUUUAUAUCAAAAUAUUCAAAAUAAAUUUAAAAUAAAUCAGAAAAUUGAAAAGUCAACUCCUAUGAAGUCAUUGAUAUAUUUUCUUCCACAUAAACCUUGAAAAAAUUCAUUUUGAAUAACAAAAAUUUAAAAUGACCAUCCAAAACAAAAUUGUUUUGAUGACUCAUAAAAUCACUUCUAGUUUUAUGGUUUAGGGUUUAGAGUCUAGGGUUUAGAGAUUAGGGUUGUUAUUUAUUGGGGUUUAUUUUUAAAGUAUAAUUUUUGGGUAGUCUAGGGUAUAUGUUAGGCUUUAAAACCAUAAAACCUUUUAUAAACUUAAUUUUUUAAAUUGUAUAAUUUAAUUUUAUGGGUUUAGGGUAUUAAUUUUUAACGACGGUGGUUGGGUCGUGGAAUACAUAUUUUACGUCGUACAGUAAAACAUACGACAUGGUUUACGCUUUAAACGACGUCAUUUUAAUAUGUAAGUCGGUUUAUAUAAUUUACAACGUCAACGUCUUUAAUUUCUUAACACCGACGUGGUUUUUCAGUCGUCGUUAUAUAAAAAAUUCAAAAUAAAUUUAAAAUUAAUCCGAAAAAUGAACGGCCUUACGUUCUUAAUCCGAAAAAUGAAGUUUCCGUCGUGGAAUAUUAAAUUUACGUCGGUACUUGUAGAACUUUCGCCUUGGUUUUUCUUUCGACGUUUUAAAACGCGCGCGCUCUAAAAAUUUUCGCGCGACCUAAACUUUUUUAGAUUUGGCUCUUAUUCUUAUACUUCGAACCCUGAAACCUAAAANNNNNNNNNNNNNNNNNNNNNNNNNNNNNNNNNNNNNNNNNNNNNNNNNNNNNNNNNNNNNNNNNNNNNNNNNNNNNNNNNNNNNNNNNNNNNNNNNNNNNNNNNNNNNNNNNNNNNNNNNNNNNNNNNNNNNNNNNNNNNNNNNNNNNNNNNNNNNNNNNNNNNNNNNNNNNNNNNNNNNNNNNNNNNNNNNNNNNNNNNNNNNNNNNNNNNNNNNNNNNNNNNNNNNNNNNNNNNNNNNNNNNNNNNNNNNNNNNNNNNNNNNNNNNNNNNNNNNNNNNNNNNNNNNNNNNNNNNNNNNNNNNNNNNNNNNNNNNNNNNNNNNNNNNNNNNNNNNNNNNNNNNNNNNNNNNNNNNNNNNNNNNNNNNNNNNNNNNNNNNNNNNNNNNNNNNNNNNNNNNNNNNNNNNNNNNNNNNNNNNNNNNNNNNNNNNNNNNNNNNNNNNNNNNNNNNNNNNNNNNNNNNNNNNNNNNNNNNNNNNNNNNNNNNNNNNNNNNNNNNNNNNNNNNNNNNNNNNNNNNNNNNNNNNNNNNNNNNNNNNNNNNNNNNNNNNNNNNNNNNNNNNNNNNNNNNNNNNNNNNNNNNNNNNNNNNNNNNNNNNNCUGUUUUUGUUUAAAACCCGUCGUCUCAUGUUGUUUAUACCUUGCGAUUAGAUCAUGUAUAAUCUGCUAUAGUGAUGGUCAUGCCUGUAUUUUCACUUUUAUAUAGAUAAUAGGUUAUAGUGUCGGAGAUGGAUAAGUCAUGGAUGCACUCGGAUAGAAGAUCGAAGGCAUAUGAGUUUGGGGUGGAAGCAUUUUUGAACUUUGCUGUAGAAAAUCUUCUAACUACAACACAUAUCCGUUGUCCAUGUGUUAAAUGUGUUAAUUUGAAGUUGUUUGGGGUUGGAAUUAUAAGGGAUCACUUAUACUUUAAUGGAAUUGACCAAAGCUAUAAGAAUUGGACAUUUCACGGAGAACCUUGGGAAGCAACUACUAAUGCUAGCAGAAAUGUUGAAGAAGAUGAUGGCCAUAGUAGGUACAGUUUUGUGUCUGAAGAAAUUGAUAUGGAUGAUAAUGAUUUUGGUGAUUUUGGUUCGGAUCCGUAUGAGUUUGCCAAUGUGAUUGGGGAUGGAGAUCAACCAGUGUACCCUGGUUGUAGAAAGUACACGAAGUUAUCGGCAUUAGUGAAGUUGUAUAAUUUGAAGGCAAAACAUGGGAUGAGUGAUGUCUGUUUUACAGAAUUAUUGAUACUUCAAGGCGAUUUGCUUCCAGAAGGAAAUACAAUACCAACCUCCAUGUAUGAGGCUAAAAAGACUUUGUGUGCAUUGGGGCUGAGUUAUGAGAAAAUGCACGCAUGCCCCAAUGAUUGCAUCUUGUAUAGGAAGGAGUAUGAGGAUUCAACUAAUUGUCCUACUUGUGGUAUCUCAAGGUGGAAGGAAGGCAAAGAUGCAAUCUUGAAAGAGGGUGUGCCAGCGAAGGUGGUGUGGUAUUUUCCCCCAAUUCCAAGGUUUAAAAGGAUGUUUCAAUCACAUGAGACAGCUAAGAGUUUGACUUGGUGGCAUGUUGCUAGAAAAUCAAUUGACGGUCAGAUGUCUCAUCCGGCGGAUUCCCCGUCUUGGAAACUUCUUGAUGAUAAAUGGCCUGAGUUUGGUAAUGAGCCGAGAAACUUGAGAUUGGCUCUUUCAUCUGAUGGAUUCAAUCCCCACAGUUCUCUAAGUAGCAGAUAUAGUUGUUGGCCGGUUAUCUUAGUUACAUAUAAUCUCCCUCCAUGGCUGUGCAUGAAACGAAAGUUCAUGAUGUUAACCUUAUUGAUUUCCGAUCCUAAACAACCCGGAAAUGAUAUAGACGUCUACUUGGAGCCUUUGAUUGAUGAUUUAAAAUCCUUGUGGGUUGGGAUUAGAGGAGUGUAUGAUGCACAUAAUGGAGAAUACUUUACACUCAGAGCUGCAUUAAUGUGGACAAUUAAUGAUUUCCCCGCCUAUGGAAACUUAUCUGGUUGUGUUGUUAAAGGAUAUAAAGCUUGUCCAAUAUGCGGCGAUGAUACACCUAGUCAAACAAAUAUUUUUUGUUGACGACCCGAUGCAUCGUGGUUGGUCGUGUAGGCGUGUGAGUGUGUGUUUGUGUUUGUUUUUGUGUGUGUGUGUGUGUGUGUGUGUGGUGUGUGUGUGUGUGUGUGUACCAUUACUNNNNNNNNNNNNNNNNNNNNNNNNNNNNNNNNNNNNNNNNNNNNNNNNNNNNNNNNNNNNNNNNNNNNNNNNNNNNNNNNNNNNNNNNNNNNNNNNNNNNAUGUAAUUGGCAGUGUAUGACAUUAAUUUUGUAAUAUAUUGUAAUGUGAUUUCUUCACUUUCUACGUUCAAAUAAAACACGACGUUAUUGUGAAUCAGUUAUUCAGCAUAUUUACCGACGUCUUAAAGCAACGUAACAAUGAAGAACCACGACGCUAUUGUGAAGCAAUUAUUCAGGAUAUCACGUCGGUGAAGGAUAAAGAACCGCCAUGUAAUUCAAAAUAACACGACUCCAAUCCCAUAAUACCGACGUCUAAAAAACGAGAUAUGUAAUCUGAACGUUAAAAAAUACGACGUCAUCAUACAUUUUCCACGUCGCAAGUUCUUUUAUAAACGAAGAGGAACGAAAUUAAUUCCGACGGAAAUUCAUUAUAACCGCCGUCUAAUAACAAUUAAACGACGUUAUUUGUAAUACGGCUCCCAUCAUAAUCUACGCCGUCUAUAUGUUCUGUAAUACGGCUCUCAUUUAUUUGGAACCGACGUUGUUUAGACGUUCAACGUCGUCUAUAUUAUUAAGUGCGUCGUGAGUAAUGAAUACAUAUAAAUACAACGUCGACUAUAUAAAUGUAUACGUCGUAAAUAAUGACACUGACAACUAUUUCCACGUCAUCUUUUUUAGAUAAAAUCGAAGUGGAAAAUUUAUUUCACGACGGUUUUUUGUAAAUAAGAGACGUUGUAGAACUUUAGCAGACUAAACACGUCUGUUUUUAUUGUUUUCCGACGUUGUUGUAUUUAACAACGUCUAAUAUUUAUGGUCGUUGUUUGUUUCUGAAAAUAGGACGUAUAAAUUUUUUAAUACGACUCUCAUAUAUUUGUAACUGACGUUGUUUAGUUUUUCAACGUCUACUAUAGAAACACAUACGUCGUAAAUAAUGACACUGACAACUAUUUCCACGUCAUCUUUUAUCAAAAAAUCGAAGUGGAAAAUUAAUUGUACGACGGUUGUGUUUAUAUGUGCGACGUAGUAGGUAUCAAUAACAUCGUCUUCUAAUGUAUUUAAAGACGUCAUAUUUUUUAUUGUCGUGAAAAUUAUAUUUAACGUCGGCGUAUUUUUAUUGUCGUCGUUGUAUGUCUAUCUUGCGGCCUUGUUCUCUUAAUAUGUGUCAUAUUUUCCCUUUUUAACGACGGUCUUUUUAGAGAAUUGGUCGUCUAUUAUCAUCAUCGAUUGCUUUUUUUAGAUCUUUUUGCAGUACAAAGACGUCGUUUUGUAUUUUUUGAUGACGUUGUAUUGUUUAACAACGACGGUUAUUUAGCGUCGUGGUUUAUGAGGGAAAAGAUGACGGUGGAUUCCACGACCAUUGAAAAACCAAAUACACGACGGUGAUUUACCGUCGUCUUUUUGCUUUUUUGUAGUAGUGAUCGGAAACUUGACUAAUUAGAAUACAACAUAUGUCGAAAUAUUUUUAUCAUAAAUGGUCUCUAAGGUUCGUGAAAUUAUUAGCUUUAGUCCUUCAUGUUUUUUUGUGACAUCAUUGGUCCUUUAUGUUACUCCUCUUCACACAUCAAUUUGGUUCUGCCGUUUGGAUUCGUCAAAAUUUAUGUUAAAUUGAUGGCAUGACAUGUAUAUGGUGCCUACAUAUCCAAUGAGAUAAUGACCCGUGGAUCUAAGUAAAAAAUUUGUUUUAAAAAAAUAGUUUCAUAUUUAAAAUUUUUAAAGGGCGAAGACUCAUUGGGUAACUCGAAGUUUGGGUUGUUGAAGCCUUCAAGCAUGGUUUUGCUCACAAAAGAUUGGAACGCAAUGUGUUGGGUUGAGCACUGAAAACCAAAGAAUAUCAAAAAUGUAGUAGGGGGGAGAGAGAGAGAGAGANNNNNNNNNNNNNNNNNNNNNNNNNNNNNNNNNNNNNNNNNNNNNNNNNNNNNNNNNNNNNNNNNNNNNNNNNNNNNNNNNNNNNNNNNNNNNNNNNNNNACCUCAUGUCAGCACUUAAUAGAAAAUUUGACGGACCCUAACGGCAUGGAUCAAAUUGAUGUGUGGUGUGUAACAAAAAGGAUCAAUAAUGUCACAAAAAACAUAAAGGACCAAAGUUGAUAAUUUUGCGAACCUUAUACACCAUUUAUGAUAAAAACCCUAUAUUGUAUAAUUUUAGUGUGUUUUUUUCUUAAAUGCUAUUGAGAAGAGAUUUUAUAAAACUGCUAUAUAAAAGGUUCACCACAAUGCUAUAAAACAAUAGUAGAUUAUGGCUCUCAGAUGUUUUCAUCUUCUUAUUCAUCCAAGCAGAUCGAUAACAUAUGGUCACUACUGACUUUUUCUUGUAGUUCUCAACAUCCAUCUUUCAAGCCAUCAACCAAGUUGUUGCAUUGCUCCUCACUGUUAGAAAAGCCUCGUUUCCCUCCUCCUCCUCCAUUGAUUGAAGGAGAGACAACAAAAGCAACUUAUGAAACAAGCCCCUCAUUUCCUUGUUAAACAUAAAUCGACCCAUUAUUGAUGAGGACUGAGAAUCUAAGAGCACACUAGUAAUUAACCUGAGUGGGGAAUAUGGAUGAUGGAUCUCUCUCUCUCUCUCUCUCUCUUGAAAAAAUCAACUUCAUUAUCCUUGGUGAAUUUGUUCUGAAUUAGUCGUGUCCAGCUACAAGCAAUACUGUACGUAGUAUAUUAUUCUCUGCAUUUGUGCAUGCCAACAACAAACAAAUAUUAUUCUCUAUUAUAGCAUAUAGGCCGUCAUUUUCAAUCCUUAUAAGAGAAAACUUGCUUCGCCAUAAGAGUACGUAGCUUGGCAAGCAAGGUAAGGGUACUUCAAAAGAUUCCUUCCAUCAUCUAUAUAAGACACAUGUGACAUUGCAUGUCUCAUCAAUCAUGUUAAGAUAAAGCUAGCUGGCAAGGCAAAUUACCAACCUUUAUGCUCGAGUAUAUUAUUCCAAGCAGAUAUAAAUGUUAAUAUAUGUGAAGAAUAUUAUGAUCAAUAUAGAAUAUGUAUCAUGAUCAGUUAUGGUAUCGACUGUCAGAAAAUAUCAUCCGCAUAUGUGCAUACCAACAUUAUCGAAAGACAGUAGGAGUAUCGUCAUAUCCGAUACAAGUAUCGGAGCAUGGGUAAGAGUAUAUAUACAAGCAUACCCGUCCAAUUAGGAGAAUCAGUGCAACAUAGAUGAAAAGAAAUUAGAUGUGAUUUCACAUAUUUUUAAAGAAUAGGGGAAAUAAACCAAUUAAUCUCUUUUGUCUUCUCCAUACAUUUUUGGUUGUGAAUUUUGGUUUUCGAAGAAUUUGGCAUUUCAAGCAACUUGGAAAACAUUUUGAUGAUCCAUUGAACCUUGUUAAAGUCGAUAUUCAAUCUCUAUGGACUUUGGCCGAAAUGUCUCAUUUCAAUUGGAAAGUGACAUUGAGAUUUGAAAAGACUAGACAUUAAGGUGGCAAGAGAAGUCUAAAAGGAUCAAACAGAAAAAAAUAAUGAAAAAUUGAAAAUAACCUAGAAAGGGGAGAAAAAAUUAGUUGCAAUAGGGAUAAUAAUGUUUGAGUAAUGCUAAACGAACUCUAAAAUUAACUUAGUACACCCUACUAUCAAACUAUUUAUUGAAUUACUAAUUUACCCUAAUAUAAAAUGACCAAAAAGGAUAUAUUGAAUUGUGCAGCAAAUGUAAUUUUAAUAAGUACACAUUACUCACCAUAUUCAACCCUAAUAUUCGAUGGAGGCGACAUUGAAUGCUAUGAAUCCAACCCAAACCCACCACCACCGUCCCUCUCUCUCUCUCUCUCUCUCUCUCUCUCUCUCUCUCUCUCUCUCUCACAAAUUAUCUUAUUUGCUCUAAAUUUUUUGCAAUGAGUCAGAAUCUUCUAUGUGUAUGUGGCAUUCGUUCAUUAGACUUGGUUAAUGCAUUCAACCCACCCAAAACAAUAAUCAUUUGAUGUUCAUCCUCGAUGUUGGUGGUUUCAAGUGAGCAUGUUCCCAAACGGCUCUUACACUUGCCCACUAGAACUCCAGCUCCUCACCCUCUGAUGAAUCUAAUGACAAUUAUGUUGUUGUUUGCACCAUAAACACCAACUUCCAACAACUCCAAUACAACCUAUUUCUUCUUAAUUAGAUACCUUGGGGGUUGAUAGCAACCUCAAUAGUCUAAGAAACAAACCCACUUCGGAAUUUUCCUUCUUCCACUAGUUGAAGGGAGAUGGGUUCCAACACGAUAUUACGCGCUUAUUAGAAUCUUAUACUCGUCGAGUCUGGGUUGGCUGGUGAUAAGCAGGGGAAGGGUGGAGUUGGGUUGUGUUAGAGAGAGAGAGAGAGAGAGAGAGAGAGAGAGAGAGAGAGAGAAAGAGAAAGAGAGAGAGAAGGGCGGUAGUGGUUGGGUUGGGUUGGAUGCGAAAGGGCUUAAAUCAGAGGAGGAAGGACGGGUUUGGCUGGGUGGGUGACAGGACCCGACCCAAUUUCCGCUUUGGAAUCCGAGCUGAAUCCUGUGCGUGUCCGACACCUGGCGAAUGUCGGGCACGAAUGACCUUUUUACCCUUCUCUUUUCAAAUUCUUUUUUUUUUUAAACUUCCCUUAGACUUCUACCGAAAAUUCGACAGAGUCUCCCCUGUAUUUUGACCAAACCCAAAGUCUUCCACCUGUCAAACAGUCUCAAAUAACACACCAACUACCAGACUAACUCAACCAACAGAUCUCAACUCCAGUUUCUCAUGUUCAACAAGAUAUCAAAGCAUUUCUAUACAAAUUUACAGAACUAUGAGAAAGUUACAACGAGAUCCUACACUUUGGGGGUGGGGCGAAAGCUGGGAAGAUGGCCCGAGUGGUUUCCUUCGUACUUCUAUGGCCUGGGGGCGAAAAACAAGGUUAAAAUUGUGAGUGGACAAAAAUAAAAUUCUUUAAAACAAAAACAAGUUAGAACAUAAUAACCCCCGUUUUGAAAUACUAGGGAUAUAAAUCGUUAAUUUAGCUAUAUUUCAAUAUAAGGAAUUCAAUAAACAUGAAUAAAUAUACUGACGAAUAAACUUGCAUAACUGAUCAAAUAUAUAUAAAGAUAAUAACGCAUGAAUAUCAAGAAACUGGUAUAAAAUCACGGGAAAUCAUAACUGGAUAAAAGAGCUCAAAAUCCUUUGAAACUACCACCUAGAUGUACCCCUGUCAUAUCCGUCAAUUCCCCUGGCAGGUCUCGGGCGUCACGCAGUCUACCCGAGCCGCAAACUGGCGAAAUCAAGGGACUAUGAUCAGCCUGAUCCGCCGGCAGGUCUCGAUGACACCAAGUCGACUCGAGCCGCUCUGGCAGGAUGCAGGGGACCGCAGUCAGCCUGAUCCGCAAUCCUGGCAGGUCUCGGGGACACAGAGUCAGCCGAGCCGCAAAUCCUGGCAGGUCUCGGGACACCAAGUCUGCCGAGCCGCAAAUUCUGGCACUCACGGUCCGAGCGUCCCCGAAACUCGUGAGGCAAAGUCAAGUGCACUGACGUAACUGAAAUCAGACUGGAUGUUCGUAGACAUCGGUCCGACUGUGGGUAAUCACCAUAAAUAGAUGGGUACAUGGUGGUUUAACAAGAAAUUCUGAUAACUCUCUGAAAUCUGAUAAGUCUGAACUAAAUUACUAUCUUUGUAUCAAAAGUCUCAAGUUUACUGCUCAACCAAUAUUAUAAAAAUAAAGAUAUUUCACAAUGCAAAUCAUGCUUCGAAAUUACGUAAUAACACUUAUUCAAGAUCAAAUAGAAAAUAUAAUUAUAAAAUCUUUUAGGAAAGAAAAGUCCACUCACUGUUGGUCCGAGCUAUCUGGACCCUUCGAAGAUCCCUCAUGUGGGUCAACUGGACCUCUGGUGCCUUACUCGAUUGAUUUGGUGGAGAAUUGAAGGAGAACGAAGGAGAUGAAGUUUGGAUGAAAAACAGGCGGAAAUCGCCAGUUUCCGGCCAAUUCCCGGCGGUCCAAGGCCGGCGACGGGUCGAGGAAGGGAGGCGGCGGCGAGGCGGACCGAUUGACACCAACGGCGGAGGUCGCCGUGCCCUGUAGCGACGGCACGCUCGAUCUGAAACAGGGAGGGGGGCGGCGGUUGCGACGGGAGAGAGAGAGAGAGAGGAGAGAGAAAUGAGGAGAGAGAAGAGAGAAGGAAGAGAUAAAAUCUGACUUUUUUUUCAAAUUACCGUUUUGCCCUUCGAGGUAAUUUAAUCGUAUCUUCUUCAUUACAAUUCCAAUUCGGGUCUACUCCGUGUCUACGGACUCGUUUCGCCGUGCUCUACGCAACGGCGCAAGCGAAAUUCUCAAAUUCUUUCUUGAUCAAAAAGUCAAAUUUUCCCCUAUUAAAAUAUGCGAGGGCAAAAUCGUCUUUUGGGUAGAAUAAAGAAAUCCUAAUUUUUAGAUAUUUUAGUUUGGGUUAUUACAGUGGGGGGUGGAGAGAUGAUGGGAGGUCGAUUUAACAGGGUUAAGUGUUGUUAAGUGGUUUACCACAUGUCAAAAAAAUAGAAGGAAAACAUGUCGGGCACAUGGCAUUUGGUAACAGUAAAAUUGGACUCAUGAAUGAGUUAGGUGUUGUGUGAUAGAGUGUAUUAGGGUGUACCAUGGGUAUUUUUAGUAGUUAAAUAGGAUGUACUGAGUUAAUUUUAUAAUUUGAUUUAAAUAUUAGGGUAUACUUAGAUCAUAGGGUGUACUCAGUUAAUUUUAAGGUUUGUUUAGCAACAUUCUAAUGUUUUGUUAUCCCCGGUCAAUAAUUUUAUAUCGUGUGGCUUAGAAGGAGGCCUGUUAUCCAACUCAUCUGGUCCACCGUCCAUGAUAUGAACCCGACUUGAGAAUCUUUUGGUGAAGUAGAACAACCCAACUUGAGAGUUGAGGCAGCCAAACUAGAAGGGAAGCAUCCCCACUCCAGUCCCGCUCCCCAUGUGCCCAAUACUUUGCUUGUUUACUUCACCUUUUAAACCUUUUAGGAUUUUCCAUAGGCUAAGAGGAAAACAACAACAUUACGGCCCAGUUUACGAAUGGAUUCGAGGGGAAAUUACUUCCCAUGCCAUUUUUUAAGGGAUGGAAAAUGGAGAUUCAUUUCCCAUAUUUGAUAAUCCUAGGAAAGUAACUAAGAAAUACUACUUUAUUUCCUUUCACAUAUUUGGUUUGUGUAGGAAUGUAAAACAAAGUUAGUUUAAUUUUUCAAUUAUAUCCAUAUGAAAUUAAAUUUUAAAAAAAAUGUAUUUAAUGCUAUAUUGUUAAUGGGGACAAUAUGGUCAUGAAAAAUGUGUAUUUAAUGUUGGCUAAUUUUCUCAAACUUUCUCAUGUGCAAGACAACGAUUUCUCAUGCCUAGACUUACCAAAUAUGGGAAAGCAAUUGAUUUCUCAUCACCAAGCCUCCUUUCCCAUGAACCAAACAGGACCUACAAGUUAUUAGCUUCAAGCCUUCAAGGAUUUUCAUAACAAAUCUUCCAAUCUCACACAAAAAUAAAAAAGCAUCCAUGUAUGUAAUUUCUAGAUUAAAAUCUCACUUUUUAGGCAUUCCAUUUUCUUAGGAUUAGGUAUUACUACGCACGGACAAUCUUACGAUUAUCUGCAAUUCAUCCUUCAAUAGCUAUGGACGUUAUAUCAAAUCAACAAUAAGACGUACAUUUCUUCAAAGAACUAAAUCAUGCGGAUGUCAACUUGCUCUCACUUAUAUGUUUGUCUCUCCAUAUGAGGAAGGGUGUUUAGCUUAAGGUUUUAGGGCGCGGUUGUCUAAGAACAAUAAGGUGAACAUGUUUUGUCAAAGUACAUGGGAGACCUUUAUCUUCAAACACAAAAAAUGGCCAAAAUUAAAUUAGCAAGGAUCGACAUAUGGAUGUGAGCUUUUACACAUUGCCACUAAUUCUCUCCAUACUUUUGUUGAAAUCAUUUACAAAAUAAGAAAACUUUAGUAAUUGAAGCGAAAGAGAAGAAUUACCAGAACAGAAAAUAAGAAAAAAGAAGCACCUAACCCAAACUUUAAGUCACGAAUUUAACAGUUUACUUUUUAAAAAAAGUAAGUUACAAAACAAUCCCCUUAUUGAUGAGGAUUGAGAAUUUAAGAGCACUAAUAACUUGAGUGAGGAAUAUUGCACAUGGACGAUGGAUCUCUCUCUCUCUCUUUGAAAAAAAAGAAAAAAGAAACAAAAAUCAACUUCAUUAUCCUUAGUGAAUUUGUUCUGGAUUAGUUGUGUUGCAAUGGAACAUCGAACCUACCUAGCUAAAAGGAAAAAAGAAAGGCCACUACGACAGUACUGCAGUAUAUUAUUCCAAGAAGACAAAUGUAAACUAUAUACGUGAAGAAUAUCUAUUAUUGGUCGUCAUUUUCAAUCCUCAUAAAAGAAAACUUACUUCGCCAUAAUUUCAGGUUGUUCUCAAGGCAGGAAGGUAAGGACACUUGAAAAGAUUCCUUCUCAUCAUCUAUACAAGGAAAUGUGUUCUCAUCAAGCUAGGGGACAAGGCAAAUUAGCAACCUUUAUACUCGAUAUAUUAUUCCAAGCAGAUAUACAUGUGAAGAAUAUUAUGAUCUUGAUCAAUAUGGAAUCAGUGGGUGUAUCGAUCGACCAUCCAAAGAAAAAGGAUAUCCUCUGCAUAUAUGUGUGCAUGCCAACAACUAUAAAAGGAGACCAUGAGGCAAUGAGUUGAUCAUCAAAGCAAACACACAGAUAUCCCAACUAAAAAUCAUUCAGUGAGACAAUGGCUGGAACCAAUGAUAUUAAAAUUAAAGGGUUCGAUUUGAGCAAAAACAGCGGCAACACGUCCGGAUUAACCCACUUCGCCAACAGAGCUGACGAGGGCGACAAGGGCGACAAUAAAAUCGAGGUUGAGGAUGCUAAAGCGCAAGAUAACAAGGGAAACUUGAAAGUACUGACCGACUUCGCCCAACGUGGUAAGGUGGGCCAGUCGGAUCGCCAAGAAAUCACGGGGAGCAAGCCACUUCAGACGGCAGCAUGAAAUUGAUGAAGGCCAUACCAUAAUAAAAUAUCUACACUAAAAUAAGAGCUGAUGCAGUAUCUGAGGCUCCUUCCUUGGUUAGGCCUCAUUAUCAUGUGCAAUACUAAUAUUAUUAUUCUAAUAAAAUAAUGGUAGCUUAUUAUUAAAUAUAUCAAAAUUCUAUACGUAUAACUUUUAGAUUAUUGAUACUGAUGACAUACCAACAAGAGAAAACGAUUCAAAAGUCCUUUCUCCAAUUCGUGAUGUUACAAAAUGAGACGUCAAAUUUAAAAAUAUAGUUGCAUACGAGUAUAAACUGAACCAAUAAGCAAUGUAUGAGUGACCAAAGGUCUCAAACGAUGCAUUUAAGAAGAAGGGUACUAAAUUAAAAGAUGUACGCCAGUGAACUAUGGCAAUCUCUCGUUGCAUGCACGCAUAUGCAAUUGAAGAAGACCUAACUUAUAUCACGAAGAAGUGGAUGGGUCUUUACAUAUGAAGUUUUUAAAAUUAACACUACCGGAAGACAAUAGGAGUAUCGGCGUAUCUGAUACAAGUAUCGGAGUCUCGGAGUAUUAGAUUUGAGCAUACCUGUCCAAAUAGGAGUAUCGGUGCAACAUAGAUGAAAAGGAAUUGGAUGUGAUUUCACAUAUUUUUAAAGAACAGGGGAAAUAAACCAAUUAAUCUCUUUCGUCUUGUCCACACAUUUCUUGUUGCAAAUUUUGGUUUUCAAAAAAUUUGGCAUUUCAAGCAACUUGGAAAACAUUUUGAUGAUCCAUUAUUGAACCUCUAAAGUCGAUAUUCAAUCCCUAUCGACCUUGCUCAAAAAAUGUCUCAUUUCAAUUAGUGCAGAGAAAAAUAAAGGCAGAGUUGAAAAUAGAUUUUUCAGUUUGGAAAGUGACAUUGAGAUGUAAAAAGACUAGACAUUAAGGUGGCAAGAGAGAUCUAACAGGAUCAGACAAAAAAGGAAAAAAAAAUGAAUGAAAAAUAGAAAAUGCCCUAGAAAGGGGAGAACAACUUAGUUGCAAUGGGGAUAACAAUAUCUUGCUAUUACUGGUCAAUAAUUUUAUACCACGUGGCCUAGAAGGAGGCCUGUUAGUCCAACUCAUCUGGUCCACUUCCCAUUAUAUGAACCCGACUUGAGAGUUUUGGUUUUUUGGUUGAAGUAGAACAACCCGACUUGAGAAUUGAGGCAGCCAAACUAGAAGGGAAGCAGCCCACUCCACUCCCGCUCCCCAUGUGCCCAGUACUUCGCUUGUUUACUUCACCUUUUAAACCUUUUAGGAUUUUUUUUAUAGGAUAAGAGGAAAACGACGACAUUACAAGUUAUUACGCAUCAACGUAUGUAAUUUCUAGAUUAAAAUCUCACUUUUUACGCAUGUCAUUAUCUUAGGAUUAUGUAUUACUACGCACUGACAAUCUUACGAUUAUCUGCAAUUCAUCCUUCAAUGACCAAAGACGUUAUAUCAAAUCAACAAUAAGACAUACAUUUCUCCAAAUAACUAAAUUAUGUGGAUUUCAACUUGCUCUCAUUUAUAUGUUUGUCUCUCUCCUCCUAUUGAUUAGCCUCUCCAUAAGAGCAAAUAUGAAAAAAGAAGCUCCCAAUCCGAACUUUAAGUCACAAGUUUAACAGUUUACUUUUAAACAAAAGCAAGUUACGAAACAAUCCCCUGAUUUCCUUGUUAAACAUCAACCGACCCAUUAUUGAUGAGGAUUGAGAAUCUAAGAGCAUAUGGACGAUGGAUCUCUCUCUCUUUUUGAAAACAAAAACAAAAACAAAAAACAAAAAUCAACUUCAUUAUCCUUGGUGAAUUUGUUCUGGAUUAGUUGUUUUGAAUUAGUACAGCUUACGUACGCAAUGGAACAUCGAACUUAGCUAGCUAAAAGGAAAAAAGAAAGGCCACUACUACAGUACCGCAGUAUAUUAUUCCAAGAAGACAAAUGUAAACUAUAUACGUGAAGAAUCUCUAGUAUUGGUCGUCAUUUUCAAUCCUUAUAAAAGAAAGCUUGCUUCGCCAUAAUUUCAGGUUGUUCUCAAGGCAGGCAGAGAGAGUACGUAGCUUGGCAAGAAAGGUAAGGGCACUUCAAAAGAUUGUUUCUCAUCAUCUAUAUGAGGAAAUGUGUUGCCAUCAAGCUAGCGGACAAGGCAAAUUAGCAACCUUUAUACUCGAUAUAUUAUUCCAAGCAGAUAUACAUGUAAAUAUAUGUGAAGAAUAUUAUGAUCAUGAUCAAUAUAGAAUCUGUAUCAUGAUCAGAGGGUAUCGAUCCAGCAUCCAAAGAAAAAGGAUAUACUCUGCAUAUGUGCAUGCCAACAACUAUAAAAGGAGACCAUGAGGCAAUGAGUCGAUCAUCAACGGAAACACACAGAUAUCCCAACUAAAAAUCCAUCGUGAGACAAUGGCUGGAACCAAUGAUAUUAAAAUUAAGGGGUUUGAUUUGAGCAACAACAAAGGCAACACGUCGGGAUUAACCCACUUCGCCAACAGAGCUGACGGGGGCGACAAUGGCAACAAUAAAAUCGAGGUUGAGGAUGCUAAAGGGCAAGGGAACACGGGAAACUUGAAAGUACUGACCGACUUCGCCCAACGCGGUAAAGUGGGCCAGUCGGAUCGCCAAGAACUACUCAAACCUCAGGCAUGAAAUUGAAGAAGGCCAGACCACAACAACUUGUCUGCUUGAUAGAUAUAUGUGCUAAAUUAUCUACACAAAAAUAAGAGCUGAUGUUUUAUCUGAGGCUCCUUCCUUGGUUAGGCCUCGUUAUCAUGUGUAAUAUUAAUAUUAUUAUUCUAAUAAAAUAAUGGUAGCUUAUUAUUAAAUAUAUCAAAAUUCUAUACGUAUAACUUUUAGAUUAUUGAUACUGAUGUCAACAAGAGAAAAUGAUUAAAAAGUCCUUUCUCCAAUUCGUGAUGUUACAAAAUGAGACUUCAAAUUUUAAAACUAUAGUUGCAUACGAGUACAAAACUGAACCAAACAAUGUAUGGGCCAGAGUGACCAAGGAUGUACGCCAGUGAACUAAUGGCAAUCUCUCGUUGCAUGCACGCAUAUGCAAUUGAAGGAGGCAUUAUCUGAGGCUCCUUCCUUGGCUAGGCCUCAUUUUCAAUUUUGAUUUCAACUUUGAUUUUGCUUAAACUUUGAUUUUGAGCUAGACUGUGAUUUCGACUUUGAUCUCCCAAUUCGUGCCUUAAGAAUCAGUUUCUCCCAACUCUAUUUACCAAAACCGAAAACUCUGAACUUUUCAAUUCGUCUGGCUACUCUCAGGGUUUCAUGCCUUAGUUUCCUCUCGCCAAAAAGCCAAAAAGACUUGGCUUUCAUGUAAUGCUAUACUCCUCGAUUGAACAAGCCGCGUCUUCAAAUUCAGCUUUCUCACUUCCUUUCUCUUUACUUUCUUUCUUUUGUUUUCCGGCUGGGAAAAUCAUGGAAGCAUUACAAAUUUAAGAGAAUAUUCUAGUAUUAGGGUCCAAACUGUACUAUUUAGGUAUUUUCAUUCUGAUUAAGAGUUCUUUUCUAGAAAUUUGGGGAAGAAAAAAUAGAGUUUCUGUUUUAGUGUUUGAUUUUCAUUACAGUGAAUUAUGUGAAACCGAAAUGUUUCUUGUCUGAUUUCAUCACUGCUUUCAAAUUGCAAAUUAAGGAUUUGAAGGUUAACAAUGCCCGUCUUUAACAAUGUCGCAUUUCAAUUAGUACAAAAGAAAAAUAAAGGCAUAGUUGAAAAUAGAUUUUUCAGUUUCGAAAGUGACAUUGAGAUUUAAAAAGACUAGACAUUAAGAUGGCAAGAGAGAUCUAAAAGGAUCAAACAAAAAAAGUGAAUGAAAAAUUGAAAAUGCCCUAGAAAGGGAGGAAAUCUUAGUUGCAAUGGGGAUAACAAUGUUUUGCUAUCCUCGAACAAUAAUUUUACACCACGUGACCUAGAAGGAGGCAUGUUAAUCUAACUCAUCUGGUCCACCGUCCAUGAUAUGAACCCGACUUGUGAGUUUUUUUUUUUUUUUGUUGAAGUAGAACAACCAAACUUGAGAGUUGAUGUCACAUCUCAGGAUCGGCUUCACCGUAGCACGAUAUUGUCUGCUUUGGGCCCCCUCGCUGUCCUCGCGGUUUUGUUUCUAGGAGCUCACGAGCAACUUCUCAGUUGGUCACUCAUCUUAGGAUUGCUCUGGCCCAAACUCACUUAACUUCGGAGUUCUCAUGACUCCGAAGCUAGUGAGCUCCUAAAAGGCCUCGUACUAAAUGGAAGUGGGCAUAUAUAUAUAAGGCACAACACCCCAUCUUCGUUGGUUGAUGUGGAAUGUUACAAUCCACCCCCCUUAGAGGUCUGACUUCCUCGUCGGCACACUCUCACCACACGGCAGAGUGGCUCUGAUACCAAACUGUCACAUCCCGGGAACGGCUCCGUCGUAGCACGAUAUUGUCCGCAUUGGGCCAACCUUUCUGCCCUCACGGUUUUGUUACUGGGAGCUCACGAGCAACUUCCCAGUGAAUCACUCAUCCUGGGAUUGCUCUAGCCCAAACUCGCUUCACUUCGGAGUUCCUAUGACUCCGAAGCCAAUUAGCUCCCAAAAGACCUCGUGCUAGAUAAAGGUGGGCACGUACAUAUAAGGCACAUCACCUUCUCUUCGUUGAUCGAUGUGGGAUGUUACAGUUGAGGGCUCCGUUGGUCGAUGUAGGAUGUUACAGUUGAGGCAGCCAAACUAGAAGGGAAGCAACCCAACUCCACUCCCUCUCCCCAUGUGCCCAGUUCUCUGCUCGUUUACUUCACCUUUUAAACAUUUUAGGAUUUUCCAUAAGCAAAGAGGAGAACGACCACAUUACGGUCUCGUUUGGUUCACGAACAGAUUUAAGGGGAAAUAACUUCUCAUGUCAUUUCUCAAGGGAUGAGAAAUGGAGAUUCAUUUCCCAUAUUUGGUAAUCCUAGGAAAAUAACAAAGAAAUACCACUUUAUUUCCUUUCACAUGUUUGGUUUGUCUAGGAAUGUAAAACAAAGUUUGUUUAAUUUUCCAAUUAUACCGAUAUGAAAUCAAAUAAAAAAAGAAUAUUUAAUGUUAUAUUGUAAUUCUAAACUGUUAAUAGGGACAAUAUGAUCAUGAAAAAUGUGUAUUUAAUGUUGGCUCAUUUGCUUAUUUUCCCAAACUUUCACAUGAGGAGGAAAACAAAACCCAAGGGGGGAGGAUGGCUUCACUUUCCCCUCUACUUUCCCAUGUACAAGGCAACGAUUUCUCAAGUCUGGACUUACCAUACAUGGGAAAGAAAUUAAUUUCUCAUCCCCAAGUCAUUUUUCCCAUAAACCAAACGGAGCCUACAGGUUAUAAGCUUCAACCUUUAAGGAUUUUCAUAACAAAUCUUGCAAUCUCAUACCAAGGAAAUAAAAAUAAAAAAAAGGAUCCAUGCGUGUAAUUUCUAGAUUAAAAUCUCACUUUUUACGCAUGCCAUUAUCUAAGGAUUAGGUAUGACUACACACGAACAAUCUUACAAUUAUCUGCAAUUCGUCCUUCAAUGGCCAAAGACGUUAUAUCAAAUGAACAAUAAGACGUACAUUUCUUCAAAGAACUAAAUUAUGUGGAUUUCAACUUGCUCUCACUUAUAUGUUUCUCUCUCUCCUCCUAUUGUUUAGCUUAAGGUUUUAGGGCGUGGUUGUCUAAGAACAAUAAGGUAAACAUGCUUACAAAAAAAGAUGGACAGCAAGGAUGGACAUAUGCGAAUGUGAGCUUUUACACAUUGCCACUAAUUUUCUCCAUGAUUUUGUUGAAAUCAUUAACAAAAUAAGAAACUUUAGUAAUUGAAGCGAAAGAGACUAAUUAUCAGAAGAGAAAAUAUGAAAAAAGAAGCUCCCAAUCCAAACUUUAAGUCACAAGUUUAACAGUUUACUUUAAAACAAAAGCAAGUUACGAAACAAUCCCCUGAUUUCCUUGUUAAACAUCAACCGACCCAUUAUUGAUGAGGAUUGAGAAUCUAAGAGCAUAUGGACGAUGGAUCUCUCUCUCUUUUUGAAAACAAAAACAAAAACAAAAAUCAACUUCAUUAUCCUUAGUGAAUUUGUUCGGGAUUAGUUGUGUUGAAUUAGUACAGCUUACUUACGCAAUCGAAUAUCAAACCUAGCUAGCUAAAAAGAGAAAAAGAAAGGCCACAACGACAGUACUGUAGUAUACGUGAAGAAUCUUAUGAUCUAUAAUAUUCUGUAUUAUUGGCCAUCAUUUUCAAUCCUUAUUAAAGAAAACUUGCUUCGCCAUAAUUUCAAGUUGUUCUGAAGGCAGGCAUAGAGAGCACGUAGCUUGGCAAGGGAGGUAAGGGCACUUCGAAAGAUUCCUUCUCAUCAUCUAUACAAGGAAAUGUGUUCUCAUCAAGCUACGGGACAAGGCAAAUUAGCAACCUUUAUACUCAGAUAUAUUAUUCCAAGCAGAUAAACAUGUAAAUAUAUGUGAAGAAUAUUAUGAUAAUGAUCAAUAUAGAAUCUGUAACAUUAUCAGAGGGGUAUCGAUCGACCAUCCAAAGAAAAGGAUAUCCUCUGCAUAUGUGCAUGCCAACAACUAUAAAAGGAGACCAUGAGGCAAUGAAUCAUCAAAGCAAAGACACAGAUAUCCCAACUAAAAAUCAAUCAGUGAGACAAUGGCUGGAACUGGAACCAAUGAUAUUAAAAUUAAAGGGUUCGAUUUGAGCAACAACAGCGGCAACACGUCGGGAUUAACCCACUUCGCCAACAGAGCUGAUGGGGGCGACAAGGGCGACAAUAAAAUCGAGGUUGAGGGUGCUAAAGCGCAAGAUAACAAGGGAAACUUGAAAGUACUUACCGAUUUCGCCCAACGCGGUGAAGUGGGCAGGUCGGAUCGCCAAGAACUUCUCAAGCCUCAGGCAUGAAAUUGAAGAAGGCCAUACCAUAUAUGUGCUGAAUUAUCUACACAAAAAUAAGAGCUGAUGUUUUAUCUGAGGCUCCUUCCUUGGUUAGGCCUCGUUAUCAUGUGUAAUAUUAAUAUUAUUAUUCUAAUAAAAUAAUGGCAGCUUAUUAUUAAAUAUAUCAAAAUUCUAUACGUAUAACUUUUAGAUUCUUGAGUGGGAAACCCUAGCUGCAUUCUGGUCCCUUUUCUUCUUGCCGACAACCAACCACAAGGAAACUAAAGGGGGAGGUGGCCACUGCCCCUCCCCCCCUUCGCCCAUCUUCCCUUUCUCUCCUCAUCUUCCCUUCUUUUUCUCCCAUCUUUUCCCUUCCUCUUAUGCCCUCUUCUCUUCCCAUUCCCUUUCCCAUAUAGUCUAGAUCUAUUUGGAUCUAGGUUUUGUUUGUUUGUUUGUUUGGUUUGGUUUGGUUGUUUUUGCAGUAUUCUAGGUGACUGGUAGUGACGUUGGAUUGUGUCUAUUAUCGGGAGAGUUGUGAUACCUAGUGGCUGAUGUUUUGUCUCUGUUUCAACGACGGCGGCAGUAGCGACACUAGUGAUAGUUAUUGGAUGUGGUGCUCUUCUUUAUUCUGCACUUACCGAAGAACUAUGCUUGGUCAUAGGAGGUUUUCUUUGUCAGAUUCUGAGUUGAAGUGGAGUGCUUCUUAGGGGUCCUUUUAUUGUUGCUUCUAUGUUCCUCCUCUGUGUUCUCUCCUGUUUUCUGUUAUGGUAUGCCUUGUAGUUUGUAUGGGUGUCAAAAUACUAUGAUUUUGCUCAUAGAAGGCUUCUUUUGACAGUUGGGAUAUUCUACGAUCCUCUUCUGUGGGUUUACUAUUUGGGGUUUCUGUCGUUCUCUCAUGUGGGUGUACUAUGUUGGUAUCUAGUUGAGGUUUUCGUCGGAGUUCUUUUUGUUAGUUUUCGUUUUUGAUUUGUUCUUUUAUUGUAAUGGUCCAAAGCGACCAGAAUUAAACUCUCUUGUUAGUCCAUGACAUGUGUGGUACUCUUUUCUCCCCGGGGUUUGUCCCUUGAGAUUGCCCUAGGAAGGUUUUAACGAGGCCACUAUAUCAUGUUGCUCAUUGUACGUCUUUGGUUCUAUUAAUUAAUUCUCUUUCUUAAAAAUAACAAAAAUAAAUAAAUAAAUAAAUAAAAAUUUAGAUUAUUGAUAACGAUGUCAACAAGAGAAAAUGAUUAAAAAGUCCUUUCUCCAAUUCGUGAUGUUACAAAAUGAGACUUCAAAUUGUAAAACUAUAGUUGGAUACGAGUAUAAAACUGAACCAGGCAAUGUAUGGGCCAGAGUGACCAAGGUUGUACGACAGUGAACUAAUGGCAAUUUCUCGUUGCAUGCACGCAUAUGCAAUUGAAGAAUGCCAUAAUAAUAUGUGUUUUUACUAAAUUAUCUACACUAAAAUAAAAACUGAGGCAUUAUCUGAGGCUCUUUCCUUGGCUAGGCCUCAUUUUCAAUUUUGAUUUCAACUUUGAUUUCGCUUAAACUUUGAUUUUGAGCUAGACUGUAAUUUCGACUUUGAUUCUGAUUCUCUCCCAAUUCAUGCCUUAAGAAUCAGUUUCUCCCAACUCUAUUUACCAAAACCAAAAACUCUAAACUUUUCAAUUCGUCUGGGUACUCUCAGAGUUUCAUGCCCUAGUUUCCUCUCGCCAAAAAGCCAAAAAGACUUGGCUUUCAUGUAAUGCUAUACUCCUCGAUUGAACAAGCUGCGUCUUCAAAUUCAACUUUCUCACUUCCCUUCUCUUUACUUUCUUUUCUUUUGUUUUCCAGCCCGGAAAAUCAUGGAAGCAUUACAAAUUUAAGAGAAUAUUCUAGUAUUAGGGUCCAAACUGUACUAUUUAGGUAUUUUCAUUCUGAUUAAGAGUUCUUUUCUAGAAAUUUGGUGAAGAAAAAAUAGAGUUUCUGUUUUAGUGUUUGAUUUUCAUUAUAGUGAGUUAUGUGAAAUCGAAAUGUUUCUUGUGUGAUUUCAUCACUGCUUUCAAAUUGCAAAUUAAGGAUUUGAAGGUUACAAAUUAUUAUGUAGAUAAUUUUUGGGAAUUUAAGAGGCAGUACAGUGUUUGUAUAAGUCUUGAGAUAGACCAAUUUACCACAUGCUCGAUUUCUAUAUAUAAAUUUUUUUAAAUCAUUCUUUUGUUUUAUUUAUUCUGUUAAUUUGUCAUAAUGUGUAAUAUGAUAGCUUCUAAUUCUUUCUUCCUAUUUCUUCUUUUUUGUUAUUCUCUCCCAAAUGAAAUGAAGACCUAACUUAUAUCAAGAAGAAGAGGAUGGAUCCUUACAUAUGAAGAUUUUAAAAUUAACAUUAUUGGAAGACAGUAGGAGUAUCGGCAAUUUGAUACAAGUAUCGGAGUAUCAAAUACGAGCAUGCCCGUCUUUAACAAUGUCUCAUUUCAAUUAGUACAAAAGAAAAAUAAAGGCAGAGUUCAAAAUAGAUUGUUCAGUUUCGAAAGUGACAUUGAGAUUUAAAAAGACUAGACAUUAAGAUGGCAAGAGAGAUCUAAAAGGAUCAAACAAAAAAAAUGAAUGAAAAAUUGAAAAUGCCCUAGAAAGGGAGGAAAUCUUAGUUGCAAUGGGGAUAACAGUAUUUUGCUAUCCUCGAUCAAUAAUUUUAUACCACGUGACCUAAGGAGGCAUGUCAAUCUAGCUCAUCUGGUCCACCGUCCAUGAUAUGAACUCGACUUGAGAGUUUUUUUUUUUUUUUUUUUUUUUUUUUGGGGUUGAAGUAGAACAACUAGACUUGAGAGUUGAUGUCACAUCUCAAGGUCGGUUCCACCGUAGCACGAUAUUGUCUGCUUUGGGCCCCCUCUUUGUCCUCGCGGUUUUGUUUUUAGGAGCUCACGAGCAACUUCCCAGUUGGUCACCCAUCUUGGGAUUGCUCUAGCCCAAACUCACUUAACUUCGGAGUUCUCAUGACUUCGAAAUCAGUGAGCUCCCAAAAGGCCUCGUGCUAAAAGGAGGUGGGCAUAUACAUAUAAGGCGCAACACCCCCUCUCCGUUAGUCGAUGUGGAAUGUUACAAUCCACCCCCUUUAGAGGUCCGACGUCCUCGUCGGCACAGUCUCACCACACGGCAGAGUGGCUCUAUGCCAAAUUGUCGCAUUCCGGGAUCGGCUCCGUCGUAACACGAUAUUGUCCGCGUUGGGUCAACCUCUCUGCCCUCACGAUUUUGUUUCUGGGAGCUUACGAGCAACUUCCCAGUAGAUCACUCAUCCAAACUCGCUUAACUUCGGAGUUCCCAUGACUCCGAAGCCAGUGAGCUCCCAAAAGACCUCGUGCUAAAUGGAGGUAGGCAUGUACAUAUAAGGCACAUCACCUCCGCUCCGUUGGUCGAUGUGGGAUGUUACAGUUGAGGGCUCCGUUGGUCGAUGUACGAUGUUACAGUUGAGGGCUCCGUUGGUCGAUGUAGGAUGUUAUAGUUGAGGCAGCCAAAAUAGAAGGGAAGCAACCCUACUCCACUCCCUCUCCCCAUGUGCCCAGUUCUCUACUCGUUUACUUCACCUUUUAAACCCCUUCGUACUUGAAGACCUGGCUGGCAAUUUGAUUGAAGCGAAAGAGACUAAUUAUCCAUGCUUUUGUUGAAAUCAUUAACAAAAUAAGAAACUUUAGUAAUUGAAGCGAAAGAGACUAAUUAUCAAAACAGAAAAUAUGAAAAAAGAAGCUCCCAAUCCGAACUUUAAGUCACAAGUUUAACAGUUUACUUUAAAACAAAAGCAAGUUACGAAACAAUCCCCUUAUUUACUUGUUAAACAUCAACCGACCCAUUAUUGAUGAGGAUUGAGAAUCUAAGAGCACAUGGACGAUGGAUCUCUCUCCCUUUUUGAAAACAAAAACAAAAACCAACUUCAUUAUCCUUAGUGAAUUUGUUCUGGAUUAGUUGUGUUGCAAUGGAACAUCGAACCUACCUAGCUAAAAGGAAAAAAGAAAGGCCACUACGACAGUACUGCAGUAUAUUAUUCCAAGAAGACAAAUGUAGACUAUAUACGUGAAGAAUAUCUAGUAUUGGUCGUCAUUUUCAAUCCUCAUAAAAGAAAACUUACUUCGCCAUAAUUUCAGGUUGUUCUCAAGGCAGGAAGGUAAGGACACUUGAAAAGAUUCCUUCUCAUCAUCUAUAUAAGGAAAUGUGUUCUCAUCAAGCUAGGGGACAAGGCAAAUUAGCAACCUUUAUACUCGAUAUAUUAUUCCAAGCAGAUAUACAUGUGAAGAAUAUUAUGAUCUUGAUCAAUAUGGAAUCUGUAUCAUGAUCAGUGGAUGUAUCGAUCGACCAUCCAAAGAAAAAGGAUAUCCUCUGCAUAUAUGUGUGCAUGCCAACAACUAUAAAAGGAGACCAUGAGGCAAUGAGUUGAUCAUCAAAGCAAACACACAGAAAUCCCAACUAAAAAUCAAUCAGUGAGACAAUGGCUGGAACUGGAACCAAUGAUAUUAAAAUUAAAGGGUUCGAUGUGAGCAACAACAGCGGCAACACGUCGGGAUUAACCCACUUCGCCAACAGAGCUGCCGAGGGCGACAAGGGCGACAAUAAAAUCGAGGUUGAGGAUGCUAAAGGGCAAGGGAACACGGGAAACUUGAAAGUACUGACCGACUUCGCCCAACGCGGUAAAGUGGGCCAGUCGGAUCGCCAAGAACUUGUCAAACCUCAGGCAUGAAAUUGAAGAAGGCCAUACCAUAACCACUUGUCUGCUUGAUAGAUAUAUGUGCUAAAUUAUCUACACAAAAAUAAGAGCUGAUGUUUUAUCUGAGGCUCCUUCCUUGGUUAGGCCUCGUUAUCAUGUGUAAUAUUAAUAUUAUUAUUCUAAUAAAAUAAUGGUAGCUUAUUAUUAAAUAUACCCAAAUACUAUACGUAUAACUUUUAGAUUAUUGAUACUGGUGUCAACAAGAGAAAAUGAUUAAAAAGUCCUUUCUCGCAUUCGUGAUGUUAGAA